GCGUUUUGUGAAUUCACAAGCCCUAUCUUGUGGUAUGACCUGAGUACGCGAUAAUUUAAUGUGCGUAUUGGGGCCUUACCAGGUAAUGUCGUGAAUUCGCAAAACGU
rnacentral:pre_miRNA from 1 species